rnacentral:rRNA from 1 species
CCUACGGGAGGCAGCAGUGGGGAAUAUUGCACAAUGGGGGAAACCCUGAUGCAGCGACGCCGCGUGAGUGAAGAAGUAUCUCGGUAUGUAAAGCUCUAUCAGCAGGGAAGAAAAUGACGGUACCUGACUAAGAAGCCCCGGCUAACUACGUGCCAGCAGCCGCGGGAAUACGUAGGGGGCAAGCGUUAUCCGGAUUUACUGGGUGGAAAGGGAGCGUAGACGGCGCUGCAAGUCCGGAGUGAAAGCCCAUGGCUUAACCAUGGUACUGCUCUGGAAACUGGGGAGCUGGAGUGCGGGAGGGGCAGGCGGAAUUCCUAGUGUAGCGGUGAAAUGCGUAGAUAUUAGGAGGAACACCGGCGGCGAAGGCGGCCUGCUGGAACGUAACUGACGUUGAGGCGCGAAAGCGUGGGGAGCAAACAGGAUUAGAUACCCUAGUAGUC